UUCACAGUGAAAAUGAAUCCGAUGUAAGAUUAAGUUUGAAAAGGAUUGUGGGUAUCAGGAAUUAUUAACAGUCCCAGUCUGAAGUCAAAACUUACAAAAACCUGUCAGACAUGUUAUCUACAACCAAAGUUCAAUACUCACACACUAACUCAUGACUGCAUUUCUGAGAUAAGUUAUUAAUUUACCGCAGCCUAGCUCUAUUGAACAGCUAUACUUUGAUGUCAUCAUUCCUUAGAUCUUAUUGGACAGUAAGAAUUAGGCUACCAAUGUUAGACGACAUAGUGGGCUAUAUUGACAUCAUUAUUACUGUAUCCUGCGCACUAACAAACCAGGUUUCUUGAGUCCAACAAGAACACAUUAAUCUAUGCCAUCCGACAAGGACUCUACAAAACUCUGUAGGAUCCAAUGAAAUUAUUGCAUCGGGUCUAAAGCGGAAUUCUGCUCGGAGGGAAAAAAAAUGCUACAAUGUGAAAUUGUAUAUCUUGAAGCAGCAACAGCAGAGAGGGAGAGCCUACUGAGUGCGCAUCGAUGGGUACCCUCUGGGGUGCGGAUAUCAAAUGAGGAAACCCGGUCAGACACACGCCCGGUAAAAGAGAGACGUGAGAUGGCAAGACAUAAGUUCCACAGAGGUUUUGUUCCUCACAAGAGGCGAGGGGAAUUCAUUCAGCACUAGCGACAACAGGCUACAGCUCCGGCUCUGCUCGUCUCAGGGUGCCCAAGGACUGAUCGCCGGACUGGUGCGUUUUACGCACAUCUUUUCCCGGAAAAGCCACCCUGCCUAACGUGGAUCAGCUGUUGCCGGCCCAAUCUGAAGGUGACCUGUUGGCUGGGCCAGAGGCUGCAACACAGGACAUGGGUCCUGCUUCCCCUCCCCGCUCGUGUCUUGUGUUGCAGCCAGUGGAGCAGCCUGUCUGCCUCUCUGCCGGUCUGUCUGCUCAUCGCUGAUGGACUGAGCUCCCAGAACCAAGGGCGUAGGUUUCGUUUCAACACUGUUUCAAAAUAAAUGUCCUCUGCUACUUUUAUGUUUUUAGGGGGGACAAUGCAAUACACAUGUUCUAAAUAUUAAGGGGGACGUGUCCCCUGCAUCCCACCGAAAUGUAUGUAUAUAUGUUUGUAUGUGUGCUCCUUGCUUUACAGCUAUAUUGUGCCUUGUCAAGUGUAGUUUUCAUAAUCAACAUAUUGUCCUCUCUCACAGUUUAAAGGCAAUAAAUUACUUUAGAGAAAAA